AGAUGAGAGGCUGUUGCUUUUGCCACCAUCCCUGCCUGCCAGCAGUGUGUGGGCAGGCAGGGGCAGGAAGGUGGCCAGGGGCAGAAAAGUGCCCCUACCACAGCUAUUUCCUCCUCUUCUCUCCCAGACCCCUUCUCUCACAGGAGGAAAAGGGGAGUUGGGGGAGGGGGUGAUUGUCACAUCCCUGUUGCCUACUCAAGCCUUCCAUUCCCAUGCACUGGUAACUCAUUCACUUCCCUGGGAUACAACUUUGCUUUGGCCUGGCACAAUCUGAGCAGAAAUAUUUGGAACUGACACUAGGGGGGUGAUCAUCCCUGGAGACUCAACUGAUCUUUUUCUCUUUUGCAGAGAAAUUAGCCACCAAACCCCCUAAGGGAGCAGGUCGAGGAGAUGGAGGAACUGUCCAGGGCAGUCACCAAAGGGUCUGAGAUCUUAGAGGGAGGCUCACAAGAAAGGCCUUUUCAAGGGUGCUGGAUUGCAGCCUGCUCGCCAGAGGGAAGAUCAACCUGCUGCAGAGGCUCCUGGAUGGUUCUGCUGACACCAGCUUGGCUGAGGAGGUUGUCCUGGAGCCCAGAGUGAAAGCUUGAAACACAAGCUGAUCCAGGGACUUGAAAAGAAGCUGGAAGCCCAAAAAGCCAUUGGGAGAUAU